AAUCACCCCCUUUUCGCUUGUACCACCAGUUACAGAUCAUCCUGUACAUACAUAUAUAUUUCAUUUUCUUACGGCUAACGAUUACAAGAUUUGGAUUGAAUAUGUCAUUCUAACAAGAGUUUUAUUCCAUAAUAAUAUGUAAAUAGAAUGCAACUGCAGUGACAAAGAAUAAUCAAGACAAGAAUCUGUAAAAGGGGAGGUAAAUAAUUUAACUGGAAGUGUCUACUCAUUACUAUCAACAACAAUAAGAAGAAUUCAAUAGUACUGCAA